ensembl:lincRNA
GCACGCCGGAUGUCUGGAGAGACAGGUGUGUGCUAGGUGUCUGGAAGUCGAGGGCCGCGGUGUGCGGUUGGUACAAAACCCACAAGACCUUGAGUCAACAAUGUGGGGGGAGGUGAAUCCUUCUGCUCCUCCUGGGAUUGUGUGAGUAUGGGACGCAUUUGGUGGGAUGCCCCAUUCAAGAUGGACUUUGAGUAAGCUGAAAGUCUGAUGACCAAAUCAACUCUAUGGGCAUUCAACCCUCUUGCCUCUGAACUACAGACACUGGGCAGUACAACCCCAUCCUCUUUAGGCUUACAGACUUGGGGGGAAAAGGCUAUUGAAUUGGACUGUUUCAGCUGGUGUUGAACAGUCCUCUGAGGGGGAGUGAGUAUGCAUAUAGGAAAGACAGAAAGAAGACUCAGAAACAAAGGUUAGACAUUAGGAGGUCUGUAGGUCUAUACCACACUAACCCUGAAUGUAUUUCUGAUAGCCUUUAUAUACUUUACAGUAUCAUGGGAAACAAAGUCACAAGGUAGAAGAGAAAAUGGCUGAUGUACAUAAGUUAUCUGUUCCCAUCUGGAGGCCUCCCUUCCACCAAGAUUAAUAGAAUAUUCAACCACUCACCUUGGGGUUCAAGUGUAUCUCCUCUUAUUGUUUCAAGAGUCAGCAGGCCGGGAAACCUGGUAGCAGACUCUGAUCUGCCUUGACUCUAUCUGACAGGAAAGCUUUCACAGAAGCAGGUCAAAAUGGCUCCUGGCAUCUUCCCCUUUUUAUUUUAUACAAGCCAAAGCUGUGUCAGUGAUUGGCACAGAAAUAGUGUGCCUGUCCUAGAUGUCUCCUCAAAAACUUCAAAUCUUACCCAUCUUUGGAACAUGAAUCCUGGCACUCAUGUCCUGUCUUAAGUUGAUCCAGCUCUGAGUGUUCCUAUAUUUUACUAAAAGCCUCUGCAAUGGGGGAUGUUACCCAUUAGGUUCCAGUUUUGAGACAAAUAUGGUGGAGACCUGCGUGUAUGUUCAAAAAGGAAUGGAGGGCAAACUUAAUCGCAAGUGGUAACAAGCAUAAUUCUAUAACCAUUAGAGUGCCUAAGGCAAGUACCGAGAAGGCCAAAUAAGUAAAAGAAAUCAGCCUUGAGCAGGUUUUUUCCAGCCUUGAGCAGGCUGAAUAGACCUUAUUGGACCUUAAAGACCUAGGUGGAGUCAUCCACCUUGGUUGCAUAUGCAACUUCCUACAGGAACUUUGAAUAGACUGCCUGCUGACCUUGCUUUGCAACAUAAUCCAUCUGAAACAAAGGAUGGGUCUGUAGGCUCUCCCUAUAUAAAUGCAGUGCUGAAUAUUAAACUUGGAGCCUUGAUCAGAACCUUGUCUUGGCUUCAUUCUUCUCUCACUGCCCCUCCCCCAUCCCUUUCAUUUCCAGUGCCACCUUUCAGGUGAACCCAGUUUGUCUAUGGUCACUGGACAGCUAUAGGUGGCAUCCAAACAAGGGGCCUGAAAAUGGGGGGACCCGCUGAGAAACGCUGUCUUGGGUGGAGCUCCACAGAAACAGAAGAAAAGUUACAGUAUCCUGCACGGUAAGCAAUGGACAGCAUUAAUGCUAGCAUUGAUUAUAUUUUUUUUGGAGGCUGUUGUUGUAGGAGGUGCAUUUGAGGGGGAUACAGGCUUCACCGAAGAGGUGUUGACCCAAUGCCAACUUCACCUACAGGUGACAGCACAAUGGCAAUUUUCCACAGCCAAAAGAGCUGCAUCAGGACAUAAGAGAAAUACAUCUGAAACCGAGUUGGAAGCUUCUCCUCUGCUGCCUAGCUUUUACAGGCCUGGAAGGUGCUACACAGGUUGCUGGGGUGAACUGUCACCAACAGACUUACUUAGCUAUUGACUUCAGCAUGCUACCCUCCUGACCUGGCUGGCACACAAGCCGUGGCUACUGGUGCAACAGUGGCAUGACUGCUACAGAGGUAACCAACCACUUUCUGAUUGUAUUUGUGCCAGUUCCAUGGAAGGAAACUCACAUCCUGACAGUGAACCUGGUCAAAAGCUUGUGGCUGGAGAGGUUUGCAGGGCUAUGUGGGAUAUUUACAAGUUCAACAGUGACACAUUUCACAUUUCAACAAUCAACAGCAUUGAUCCAUUCAAUAAGACAAGAUAAUGGCUCACAUGCACCAGUACAUAUGAUCUUAAAUGUGCAUUUUGGUUUUUUUUUCUUCAGCUCUGAAACAAACAAACAAACAAAAGAUUUUUCACUAGUCCUAAGUUGAAAGGACAUCUCUUAAUAAAGACCAUACUUCU